rnacentral:rRNA from 1 species
UGAGUAACCUGCCCUUGACUCUGGGAUAAGCCUGGGAAGCCGGGUCUAAUACUGGAUACGACCUUCUGGCGCAUGCCAUGUUGGUGGAAAGCUUUUGUGGUUUUGGAUGGACUCGCGGCCUAUCAGCUUGUUGGUGAGGUAAUGGCUCACCAAGGCGACGACGGGUAGCCGGCCUGAGAGGGUGACCGGCCACACUGGGACUGAGACACGGCCCAGACCUCCGUACGGGAGGNAG